UACGGAGGGAGCUAGCGUUGUCCGGAAUUAUUGGGCGUAAAGAGCUCGUAGGCGGUCUGUCGCGUCGGAUGUGAAAGCUCCGGGCUCAACCCGGAGACGCCAUUCGAUACUGCCAUGACUAGAGUCCGGUAGGGGGGUGUGGAAUUCCCAGUGUAGCGGUGAAAUGCGCAGAUAUUGGGAGGAACACCAAUGGCGAAGGCAGCACCCUGGGCCGGUACUGACGCUGAGGAGCGAAAGCGUGGGGAGCAAACAGG
rnacentral:rRNA from 1 species